UUCUAAUGUCGGUCGCCAUGUUGCCCCUCCAUCUUGAAAGUACAUUAGCCAAAGAGGGACAUACCCGUUAAUUCAAGCUUUGCCUUUCGCGAACACUCAUGGACGAGGUCGAACUGGAAGCCGUGUUAAUCUUGGACUACAUUGGCCACCGUAGGAGUUAAAACGAAAUCGGAAUUGAGAGGAACAGAAACUAAUAUUCCCUGGAUGGUCAUUUACCUUUUCACCGCUAGAUGGGGGUAAAAA